ACGGCUCAGUAACACGUAGUCAACCUGCCCUGGAGACGUGGACAAACCCGGGAAACUGGGGCUGAUCCACGAUAGAUGACCUCAUCUGGAAGGAGAGGUCGUCCAAAAGGCGGCGCGAGUAUGCUUCGCGUCUUCCGCUCCAGGAUGGGACUGCGGCCGAUCAGGCUGUUGGCGGGGUAAUGGCCCACCAAACCUGUAACCGGUACGGGCUUUGAGAGAAGGAGCCCGGAGAUGGACACUGAGACAAGGGUCCAGGCCCUACGGGGCGCAUCAGGCGCGAAAACUUCGCAAUGCGCGAAAGCGUGACGAGGCUAGUCCGAGUGCCUUCCGCUGAGGAGGGCUUUUCUCGGCUGUAAAUAGGCCGGGGAAUAAGGGGAGGGCAAGUCUGGUGUCAGCCGCCGCGGUAAUACCAGCUCCUCGAGUGGUCGGGACGAUUAUUGGGCCUAAAGCACCCGUAGCCUGUUCAGUAAGUCCUCUGUUAAAUCCAACCGCUCAACGGUUGGCACGCAGAGGAUACUGCUGGACUAGGAGGCGGGAGAGGCGGACGGUACUCCGCGUGUAGGGGUAAAAUCCUUUGAUCCGCGGAAGACCACCAGUGGCGAAGGCGGUCCGCCAGAACGCGCUCGACGGUGAGGGGUGAAAGCUGGGGGAGCGAACCGGAUUAGAUACCCGGGUAGUCCCAGCCGUAAACGAUGCGAGCUAGAUGAUUCGAUUGCAGUUCGCAAUCGAAGUGUCGCAGGGAAGCCGUUAAGCUCGCCGCCUGGGGAGUACGGUCGCAAGGCUGAAUUGUCGGCGAUUUCCUUCGCCGGCACAGUUCACAUAAAGGAAUUGGCGGGGGAGCAC
rnacentral:rRNA from 1 species